AUGAAUCCCAGUAUCUGCAUAUUGUUGGUACAGCCCACACCACUUGAAUGCAGCACUUGAAUGCAGGUUUGAAAUAUAGCCAUGUGAUUAUAUAAUAAAACCUGCAUUCAAGUGGUGUGGGCUGUACCAACAAUAUGCAGGUUUCAAAUA
rnacentral:ncRNA from 1 species